GCCUGGCUAGCUCAAUCGGUAGAGCGUGAGACUCUUAUCACGUAAGAGCACUAUCUCAAGGUUGCGGGUUCGACCCCCGCGUUAGGCU